CACGAACGCUGGCGGCAGGCUUAACACAUGCAAGUCGAGCGCCCCGCAAGGGGAGCGGCAGACGGGUGGGUAACGCGUGGGAAUCUACCCAUCUCUACGGAAUAACGCAUGGAAACGUGUGCUAUUACCGUAUACGUCCUUCGGGAGAAAGAUUUAUCGGAGAUGGAUGAGCCCGCGUUGGAUUAGCUAGUUGGUGGGGUAAAGGCCUACCAAGGCGACGAUCCAUAGCUGGUCUGAGAGGAUGAUCAGCCACACUGGGACUGAGACACGGCCCAGACUCCUACGGGAGGACGCAGUGGGGAAUAUUGGACAAUGGGCGCAAGCUUGAUCCGGCCAUGCCGCGUGAGUGAUGAAGGCCCUAGGGUUGUAAAGCUCUUUCACCGGUGAAGAUAAUGACGGUAACCGGAGAAGAAGCCCCGGCUAACUGCGUGCCAGCAGCCGCCGUAACAC
rnacentral:rRNA from 1 species